AACGAACGCUGGCGGCGUGGAUUAGGCAUGCAAGUCGAACGCGAAAGAGGGGGCAACCCCUUGAGUAGAGUGGCGAACGGGUGAGUAACGCGUGAAGAACCUGCCUUCGAGCGGGGAUAACACUCCCAACGGGGUGCUAAUACCGCAUGAGACCACGGGUCCACCUGGACCUGAGGUCAAAGGUGGCCUCUGCUUGCAAGCUACCGCUCGAAGAUGGCUUCGCGUCCCAUUAGCUAGUUGGCGGUGUAAUGGACCACCAAGGCGACGAUGGGUAGCUGGUCUGAGAGGAUGGUCAGCCACACUGGGACUGAGAUACGGCCCAGACUCCUACGGGAGCUG
rnacentral:rRNA from 1 species